rnacentral:rRNA from 1 species
AAUAGAUACCCCGGUAGUCCACGCCGUAAACGAUGGAUGCUAGCUGUUAGGAGUAUCGACCCUUCUAGUAGCGAAGCUAACGCGUUAAGCAUCCCGCCUGGGGAGUACGGUCGCAAGAUUAAAACUCAAAGGAAUUGACGGGGACCCGCACAAGCGGUGGAGCGUGUUCUUUAAUUCGAUGAUAAGCGAAGAACCUUACCAGGGCUUGACAUCCCGAGAAGUUCUGCGAAAGCAGAGUGUGCCUUUUGGAACUCGGUGACAGGUGUUGCAUGACCGUCGUCAGCUCGUGUCGUGAGAUGUUUGGUUAAGUCCAUUAACGAGCGCAACCCUUAUGAUUAGUUGGAUUUUUUCUAAUUAGACCGCCUCGGCAACGGGGAGGAAGGAGGGGAUGAUGUCAGGUCAUUAUUACCCUUACGUCCUGGGCUAGAAACGCGCUACGAAUGGCUGGUACAAAGGGCUGCCAACCCGCGAGGGGGAGCAAAUCCCAUCAAAGCCAGUCCCAGUUCGGAUUGCAGGCUGAAAUUCGCCUGCAUGAAGCCGGAAUCGCU